AAUAAGUUUGAUUCUUGCUUAUUUAUUAAUUUAUUAAAUGAUUUAUAUGUUGUUUUUUUAAUAUUAUUUAUUAAUAGUAAAUGCAAUUGUUUAAUUAAUUGUUUAUCAAUUUUCAGUAAUUUAAUUAUAAUGGAUAAAUUUUGUGCCAGCAUUCGCGGUUAUACAAUUCAUUAAAAUUAAUAUUUUGUUUUUUUAAUUGUAAUUUAAUUAUGAUUUUUUAUUGCUAUUAUUUAGGUGGAAUUUAUAUUGUUUUUUAAUCUGUAGUUUAUUUUUGUUAAAUUGUGUUACUAAACUAGGAUUAGAUACCCUAUUAUUUAUUUAAUUUAAAUUUAUUUGAUGAAUAUUAAUAGUUAUGUUCUAUUAAACUCAAAGAAUUUGGCGGUGAUUUAUAUCUUUUUAGAGGAAUCUGUAUUUUAAUCGAUACACCACGAUAGUUAUUACCUUUAUUUUAUUUGUAUACCUCCAUAAUUUGGAAUGUUAUUUGAGUAAAUUUUCUUUUAUUUUAAUAAAUAAUAUUAGGUCAAGGUGCAGUUUUAUAUAGGUAAGUAUGGAUUACUUUAAUUUUAAACUUUUGUAUUAAUUUUUUUCUAUAUUUAUGAUUUAAUUGUGUAUAGGAUUUGAUAGUAAUUUUAUUUAAUUAUUUAUUUUGAAUUUAGUUUUAAUUUAUGUACAUAUCGCCCGUCACUCCCUUUAAUAUGGGAUAAGUCGUAACAAAGUAGGUGUACCGGAAGGUGUAGCUAGAAAGU
rnacentral:rRNA from 1 species